GCCGGGAGCGGUGGCACGCGCCUGUAAUCCACGUUACCGGGAGGCUGAGGCUGGAGGAGCGCUUGAGUUCGGGUGUCCGUACUAAGAUCGGCGUCGAUAUGGUGCUCCUGAGGGAGCUUGGGGCCACCAGGUCGUCUAAGGAUGGUUAUAAUGACUGUCUAUGUCUAUCAUAAAAAAUAUACUGAACAAGAAUGGUGUUCU
rnacentral:sRNA from 1 species